AUACGUCCAUAUCACACUGAAAUACCGAUUCUCGUACGAUCACUGAAGUUAAGCAACGUCGAGCCUGGUCAGUAACUAGAUAGGCGACUCCUUGAGAAUACCAGGUGCUGUAA